GGGGAAUUUUGGACAAUGGGCGCAAGCCUGAUCCAGCCAUGCCGCGUGUGUGAAGAAGGUCUUCGGAUUGUAAAGCACUUUAAGUUGGGAGGAAGGACUGCAAGUUAAUACCUUGUAGUUUUGACGUUACCAACAGAAUAAGCACCGGCUAACUUCGUGCCAGCAGCCGCGGUAAUACGAAGGGUGCGAGCGUUAAUCGGAAUUACUGGGCGUAAAGCGUGCGCAGGCGGUUGUGUAAGACAGGUGUGAAAUCCCCGGGCUUAACCUGGGAACUGCGCUUGUGAGUGUACGGCUAGAGUACGGCAGAGGGGGGUAGAAUUCCACGUGUAGCAGUGAAAUGCGUAGAGAUGUGGAGGAAUACCGAUGGCGAAGGCAGCCCCCUGGGUUAGUACUGACGCUCAUGCACGAAAGCGUGGGGAGCAAACA
rnacentral:rRNA from 1 species